rnacentral:rRNA from 1 species
GAUGAACGCUGGCGGCGUGCUUAACACAUGCAAGUCGAACGGAAAGGCCCCUGCUUGCUGGGGUACUCGAGUGGCGAACGGGUGAGUAACACGUGGGUGAUCUGCCCUUCACUUCGGGAUAAGCCUGGGAAACUGGGUCUAAUACCGGAUAGGACGACGGUCUGCAUGCUAUUGUGGAAAGUUUUUUCGGUGUGGGAUGGGCUCGCGGCCUAUCAGCUUGUUGGUGGGGUAUUGGCUUACCAAGGCGUCGACGGGUAGCCGGCCUGAGAGGGUGUACGGCCACAUUGGGACUGAGAUACGGCCCAGACUCCUACGGGAGGCAGCAGUGGGGAAUAUUGCACAAUGGGCGGAAGCCUGAUGCAGCAACGCCGCGUGGGGGAUGACGGCCUUCGGGUUGUAAACUCCUUUCGCUAGUGACGAAGCGCGAGUGACGGUAACUGGAGAAGAAGCACCGGCUAACUACGUG